UAUCAGAUACGGAUGAUAUCUCCAUCCAAUAAAUGGUAAAAUUUUCUGUGGCAGAACCAGAAAAGCAUUUCUUUGCCUAGCCCUAAGAGAUCUCAUAAUGAAGUGAGAUUGAAUUAUCUAUGAGAUUUAUCUCUGGUUUUUUCCCGUAGUAAAUCAAUUCACGAGCACAAAUGUAAUAUAAGGUAUUAAACCAGAAAU